rnacentral:lncRNA from 1 species
GUGUUAGGCUUCCCUUUGUCCACAUCCUUCCUAACAUUUGUUAUUUGUAGACUUUCUUUUUUUUUUUUCCCCCACAGUGAGCAGUGCUUUGAUGUAGGAUCUUAGUUCCCAGACCAGGAACUUAGUCAUUAGCCGUCGUGGUUGAAUCUGGGCCACAAUAGAGAAAGAGCCAAGUCCUAACCACUAAAUCACCAGGGAACUCCUUAGGCUUUUUAAGGAUGGCCAUUCUGACAAGUGUGAGGUAAUAUAUCUUACUGUGUUUUGAUGUGCAUUUCUCUGAUAAUUAGCAAUGUUGAGCAUCUUUUCAUGUUGGCCACUGGUAUGUCCUCUUUGGAAAAUGUCUGUUCAAGUCUCCUGCCUAUUUUUUUUGGGGGGGGGGUCUUUUUGCCUUUUCUAGGGCUGCUCCCAUGGCUAUGGAGAUUCCCAGGCUAGGAGUCUAAUCGGAGCCGUAGCCAGUGGCCUACACCAGAGCCAUAGCAACACAGGAUCCGAGCCACGUCUGCAACCUACACCACAGCUCACGGCAACGCCAGAUCCUCAACCCACUGAGCAAGACCAGGGAUCAAAUCCUCAACCUCAUGGUUCCUAGUCGGAUUUGUUAACCAAUGAGACACCACGGGAACUCCUCUCCUAUUUUUGAUUUUUUAAAAAAAUACUGAGUUGAGUGAGCUGUUUAUGUAUUUUUGAUCUUAACCUCUUUUUGGUCACAUCUUUACAAAUAUUUUCUGCCAUUCAGUAAGUUGUCUUUUCAUUUUGUCAGUGGUUGUUUUGCUGUGCAAAAGCCUUUGAGUUUAAUUACAUCCCAUUUACUUACUUUUGCUUUUGUUUUCUUUGCUUUAGAAGACAGAUCCAAAAGAUACGGUUGAAAUUGAUAUCAGAGUGUUUUGUCUAUGUUAUCUUCUAGGAGUUUUAUGAUUUUAGGUCAUAUAUUUAGGCCUUUAAUCCAUUUGGGGUUUAUUUUUGUAUACGGUUUUAGAAAAUGGUCUAAUUUGAUUUUUUUACAUGUAGCUGCCUAGUUUUCCCAGCACCACUUAUUGAAGAGAUUGUCUUUUUUCCAUUGUAUAUUUUUGCCUUUGUCAUAGAUUAAUUGACUAUGAGUGCAUGGGUUUAUUUCUGAGUUCUCUAAUAUGUUCCACUGAUCUGGGGUAUCUGUUUAUACCGUUGUGAUUACUAUAGCUUUGUAGUAGAGUCUAAAGUCAGGGAGAGCGAUAUCUUUGGCUCUGUUCUUUCUCAAGAUGGUUUUAACUGUUCAGGGUCUUUUGUGUUUCCAUACAGAUUUUUAAAUUAUUUGUUCUAGUUCUUUAAAAAACCCCAUUGGUACUUUGAUGAAGAUUGUAUUGAAUAUGUAGAUUGCCUUGUAUAGUACAGUGAUUUUAAUACUAUUAAUUCUUCCAAUCCAUGGACACAGUAUAUCUUUCCAUCUGUCUCUGUCUUCUGAAAUUUGUUUCAUCAGUUCUUAUAGUUUUCUGAGUGCACGUUUUUUUACUUCCUCAGGUAUAUUUAUUUCUAGGUAUGUUAUUUUUUGAUGUGAUUGUAAGUGGGAUUGUUAAUUUCUCUUUCUCAUAGUUUGUUAGCAUAUAGAAAUAUAACAUAUUUCUGUAUGUUAACAUUGUAUCCUGCAACUUUAUAGACCUCAUUGAUGAUCUCUGGUAGUUUUUUGGUAGCAUUUUAGGAUUUUCUAUGUAUAGUACCAUAUCAUCUGCAGAAAGUGAAAGUUUUACUUCUUAUUCAAUUUAGAGUCUUUUUUUCUUUUUCCUGUAUGCCGUGACUAGGACUUAACAGUAUUGAAUGAAAGUGGAGAGAGUGGGCAUCCUUGUCUUGUUCUUGAUUUGAGAGGAAAUGCUUGCAGUUUUUCACUGUUGGGUAUAAUGUUAUCUGUGGGCUUUUCAUAUAUGGACUUUAUUAUGUUGAGGUAUGUCCCCUUUAUAACAACUUUCUGGAGAGUUUUUAUAAACGGAUGUUGAAUUUUGUCAAAAGCUUUCUGAAUUUAUUGAGAUGAUUCUAUAGCUUUUAUUAUUUAAUUUGUUAAUGUGGUGUAUCAUAGUGAUUGAUUUUCAGAUACUGAACCAUCCUUGUAUCCCUGGGAUAAAUCCCAUUUGAUCAUAAUGUAUGAUCCUUUCAAUAUAUUGUCAGAUUUGGUUUGCUGAUAUUUUGUUGAGGAUUUUUGCAUCUAUGUUCAACAGAGAUAUUGGCCUAAAAUUUUCUUUUUUGUGAUUAUCUUUGUCUGGCUUUGGUAUCAGGGUGAUGCUGGCCUCAUAGAGUGAGUUAGGAAGUGUUCUAUCCUCUGCAAUAAAUUGCAGAGACAGAUAGGUAUUAACUUUUCUCUAAAUGUUUGGCAGAAUGCACUUAUAAAACCAUCUGGUCCUGGACUUUUGUUUACCGGGAUUUUUUUAAAAAUUAGUUUCAUUACUGGUGGUUGGUCUGUUCAUAUUUUCUAUUUCUUCCUGUUUCAGUUUUGGGAAAUUGCACAUUUCUAGGAAUUUGUCUAUUUCUUCUAGAUUGUCCAUUUAAUUGGCCUAUAGUUGUUUGUAGUCAUCUCGUAUGAUCCCUUGUAUUUCUUGGCUAUUGGUUGUAACUUUCUCAUUUCUGAUUGUAUUAAUUUGGGCCCUCUCUUUCUUGAUGAGUCUGGUUAGAAGUUUAUCAAUUUGGUUUAUUUUUUCUAAGAACUAGCUCUUAAUUUUAUUGAUCUUUUUCUCUAGUCUCUGUUUCAUUUAUUUCUGCUCUGAUCUUUAUGUGAAUUCUUUCUACUAAUUGUGGGUUUUGCUUGUUUUCUAGUUCCUUUGUGUAAGGUUAGGCUACUUGAGAUAUUUCCUGAGAUAAAGUUUGUAUCACUAUUAGAACUGCUUGUACUGUAUACCAUCAAUUUUGGAUCGUUGUGCUUUUGUAAUUUGUCUUCAGAUUUUAUUUCUUCAUUGAUCUAUUGGUUGUUUAAUAGCAUAUUAUUUAGCCUCCACAUGUUUGUUCUUUUUUGCAGUAUUUUUUCCUUGUAGUUGAUUUCUAUUCUAUGUCAUGAUUGGAAAAGAUGCUUGAUAUUUCAGUUUUCUUAAAUUUACCAAAGGUUGUUUUGUGGCCUAGCAUGCGAUCUAUCCUGGAAACUGUCCUGGGAGCACUUGAAAAGAAUGUGUAUUCUGCUGCUUUUGGAUGAAAUGCUAUUAAGUCUAUCAGAUUUAAUGUGUUAUUUAAGGCCAAGGUUUCCUUGAUUUUUUGCUUAUAUGAUCUGUCCAUUCAUAAAAGGGAGUGUUAAAGUCCCCUACUAUUAUUAUGCUGUCAGUUUUUCCCUUUCUGUUAAUAGUUUGAAUUAUGUAUUUAGGUAUUCCUAAGUUGGGUACAUAUCUAUUUACAAUAGUUGUAAUUCUUCUUGGAUUGACCCCUUGAUCAAUAUGUAGUAUCCUUGUCUCUUGCUACAGUCUAUUUUUUGUCUUUUUGGGGCCACACCUGUGGCAUAUGGAGGUUCCCAGACCAGGGGCCAAACCAGAGCUGUAGCUGCUGGCCUACACUACAGCCACAGCAAUGCCAGAUCCUUAAACCUCUUGGCAAGACCAGGGAUCAAGACCGCAUCCUCAUGGAUGUUAGUCAGGACCAUUAACUGCUGAGCCAUGACAGGAACUCGUACAGUCUAUUUUUUUUUUUGGGGGUCUUUUCUAGGGCCACACCCACAGCAUGUGUAGGUUCCCAGGCUAGGGGUCCAAUCAGAGCUGUAGCUGCCAGCCUAUGCCAGAGCCACAGCAAUGUGGGAUCCGAGCUGUGACCUACACUACAGCUCAAGGCAACGCUGGAUCCUUAACCCUCUGAGCAAGGCCAGGGAUCAAACCUGCAACCUCAUGGUUCCUAGUUGGAUUCACUAACCACUGAGCCACAACAGGAACUGCCUUGCAGUCUAUUUUAAAAUCAAUUUUGUUUGACAUAAGUAUUGCUGUACCCGAGCUUUAUUAUUUUUUUCUUAUGGAUUAUCUAUUCCACUCCCCCCCCCCCCCCCAGUGUGUCUUUAUAUCUGGCAUUUCUUGUAGGCAACAUUUAUAUGGGUCUUAGUUUUACAUCAUUCACUCUGUUUUUUCAUGAGAUAUAAAUGGAAUAAAUACUCCACAGUAUUUUUUUUCCAAAUUAUUGAUAGGCAUAUACUUACUGUCAUUUUGUUGUUUUUGUAAUAGUUCUUUUUAUGGUCUUUUCCUUUAUGAUUUGAUGACAAGUAUUAUGUUCAGUUUAGUUUCUUGUCAUAUAUAUUUAUAUCUAUUACAGAUUUUUGGUUUGUGGUUACCACAAAGUCUAUACAUAGCAAUCUGAGAUUUUUAAAAAAUUGUUUAAAACACAUUUUAAGGAGUUUCUAUAGUGGCUCAGCUGGUUAAAAACCCAGCAUAGUGUCUGUGAGGAUGUGGGUUCAAUCCCUGGUCUCAUUCAGUGGGUUUAGGAGUUGGUGUUGUCACAAGCUGCAGUGUAGGCCACAGAUGCAGCAUGGAUCCAUUGGUGCUGGAAAGUGCAGUUCCAAUUCAACCCCUAGCCUGGGAACUUCCAUAUGCCCCAGCUGUGGCUAUAAAAAGAAAAAGAAACAAAGACCCACACCUUAAGAACCCUGGAUUUUUACUCUCCUCCCUCAUAAUCAUUCAUUUUAACAUCACAUUUUGCAUUUAUUUCAUGUAGCCUCAAUUGCUUAUUAUAUAGCUAUAAGAUGAUUUUACCAUUUUUGUCUAAACUUUCCUAUUAGUUUUGUACAUGGUUUCCUGCCUUUACCCAUGAGCUCUUUCCUUUUGUAGUUUUCAUCUUUCCAGUUGUGGCCUUUCUUUUUCACUUAAAGAAGUCCCUUUAAUAUUUCUUACACAGCUGGUUUGGUGGUUUUGAACUCUUAGUUUUUGAUCUAUGCACUCUGAAUGAGAGGCUUCUCAGGUAGAGAGUAUUCUUGGUAGAAAGUAUUCCUGGUUGUAGUUUCCACCAUUUCAUCACUUUAUUAUAUAUUGUGCUUAUGACCUGCAGUGUUGCUGAAAUAUUAGCUACCUGCUUUUCUUUUGCUGCUUUUAUUAGUUUAAGGUUGGGUUUUUUUACAGUAUAAGUUACAGGUAUGUAACAGUGAUUCACAAGUUUAAAAGGUUUUUAGUUAUAAAAUAUUGGCUAUAUUCCCUUUGUAUAAUAUGUAUCCUCAUUGCUUAUUUUAUGUAUUCUCGUUAUUUUAUGUAUAUAUAAUCUUUGUACUUCUUAAUCUCCUACCUCCACUAGGCAAAAAUCUUCCCUGGGUGCUUCAACUGGGGGGCCAAGGUCCUGUUAUGUGCACCAUCAAAUAAAACUCAGGAUCAACCAAUAAUCAGAAGAUCCAAAAACCAGGAGAGGUUCACCCGAAUUCAUCUGUACUCUGAGGAGGUGGACAGGCCCAAGGGGUCUCUGGUAGUACCACAGCUCCCAAUCCUAGCAGAGGUCAGGAGAAGGCUAAAUCUGCUUUGGGUGUCUUUGCGGUCACCAAAACUGUUGAAGAAAACACACAGGCUAAAAGUUAAAAGAUUUGGGGCCCUUACAGAGUGACUGACUAUAAGCUCAGGACCCAGACAGCCUCUCAGAUGAUAGCUGGGGAACAGCUCAAAAGAGGUAAGGGAAGAGCCAGGAUAUGUAGGAAAAAAUGUAGUCAAACAUCAAAAAAAUUAUUGCUGAUCACGAAAAAAUAGAUCAAGUUAAUGAUUUUAGUGGUUUUCUAUGUCUAGAUGCAAGAGCUAGGCUCUUUGAAACUAUUCCUUAGAUAUGCAUCUUAAUUAUACAGGGUCAAAUAUCCAAAGCACAAAAUGCUUUGUUUUUUUCUCCAUACUACAUUCUCUUCAGGGUGUAUCAUGGGGGGAGUGGGGUGGGUGACUGCAGUGGCUGGUGGCCAUAAUCCUUGGAGAACUGGAAUGGCAGACAACAUUCCUUUUCCACAAUCUGAAUAAACAAAUACCACCUAUGUGCCAGCUGUUGAAGGUAUUCACACGCCUGAAACUGGUAAUCAAAACUGCAAACAAAAAAGAGAAUGCUAGAUAUUGUUAAACUUUCAGACACAGUCAAGCCAAGGAUCAGUUUUUCUCACCUUUACAUAUUGGACUGUCUCAAUCACUAUCACUUUUCCUGAAGUCUUUCAGCCAAGUUUCUACAAUAUCCUAAGUACAACUUGACAGGAGUAGGCAUCAGGGUCUUUUUUUUUUUAAGGACCACACCUACAGCAUAUGGAAGUUUCCAGGCUAGGGGUCAAAUCAGACCUGCAGCUGCUGGUUUACAGCACAGUUCAUGGCAAUGCCAGAUCCUUAACCCACUGAGCAAGGCCAGGGAUCGAACACAUAUCCUCAUGGAUACUAGUUGGGUUCUAAAUCCACUAAGCCACAACAGGAACUUUUUAAGAAAGGAAGAAAGUGCCAAAUUGAUUUAGUCAAGG